rnacentral:lncRNA from 1 species
AGAUUUUCUAGCAGUGAAUCUGAAUAUGUUUAAUCUUGAAGCAUUUUCAACUGGUCCUCAUCAGUUGUAUUUGAAUUUCAUACCCUUUAAAGCAACUCCUAAUAUGACCCCCCAGGAUCUGGUCUUGAUCAACUUUUCUAGCUUUAUUUUCUGACCCAUUCUCUCCUAAAUAAUCCACUGAAAAAUUUUCUCUACUUUGACAUACUCUUUUAAGCUUCUUCACCUCUACAUAUUCUAUUUCUUCUACUCAAGAAUCACUUUUUCCUGCCAUACUUGUCCUUGAUGAACGAAUAUUUAAUUUUCAUUUGAAAAAGUAACCUUCUCUGAGACAUUUUACAGCUCUUCAAGGGAAGGUUGGUUUUAUCUCCCUCUGAGUUUUCUCAUACUUUGGGCUAGUUUCCCAGUAGGACGGAAAUGUUCCCUGCAGGGCUGGGAGCUUGCCCUCCAGAAUUACCUCUAAGUGAAACCCCCACCUCCCUUUCAUUUUCAAAGGACUGCUGAAGUUACAUACAAUGGCAACAAAGCAACAUGUAGCAGAAGUCAUUUUCUUGUCGCUUUUUUCAGAAUGAGGAAUAUCUCAUGUAUAUAUUUGUUGUUUGAUUUUCUUGUUUUUCAGAAGCUCUUCAACACAGCUACCUUUUAUGUUAUAUGUUCACCCUGAAACCAAUUACUGUACUACUUCCUGUCACCAUGUGAAGAAGGAUGUGUUUGCUUCACCUUCUGCCAUAAUUGUAAUUUUCCUGAGGCCUCCCCAACCUUGCAGAACUAAUGAAGAAUAGUUCUUCUGCUGUGAGGAUCCACUGGGUUGCCACUGACCCAUUGCCUGAGGGUACGCAAUGAAACCGGAAUCAGUGACUGUAGAUGGCAGCUCAGACGGGGAAACGACACGUCUAAUAACCAACAGGAAUGGAUAUUAAUUAGGUGGAAUGACAAUAAUUAACAGAAAUGACAAGUCUAAUAAAUUUUCACUUAAGUGUUGUCAUAUGGCACUUUGAGUUUUUAGCUUUCCAUUUUAAAUAUUAAUCUCGGUAGCAUUUGCUUUACAUGAA